rnacentral:rRNA from 1 species
AGGGGAAUAUUGGACAAUGGGGGCAACCCUGAUCCAGCCAUGCCGCGUGAGUGAUGAAGGCCUUAGGGUUGUAAAGCUCUUUCGACCGGGAGGAUGAUGACGGUACCCGUAGAAGAAGCCCCGGCUAAAUUCGUGCCAGCAGCCGCGGUAAUAUGAAGGGGGCGAGCGUUGUUUUGAAUUAUUGGGGGUAAAGCGCACGCAGGCGGUGGUCUUAGUCAGAAGUGAAAGCCCCGGGCUCAACCCGGGAAUUGCUUUUGAUACUGGACCGCUAGAAUCACGGAGAGAUAGUGGAAUUCCGAGUGUAGAGGUGAAAUUAGUAGAUAUUGGAGAACACCAGGGGAAGGAGGUACCUGGCCU